GAUCCUGGCUCAGGAUGAACGCUGGCGGCGUGCUUAACACAUGCAAGUCGAACGAAGCACUUAAGAUUGAUUCUUCGGAUGAAGUCUUUUGUGACUGAGUGGCGGACGGGUGAGUAACGCGUGGGUAACCUGCCUCAUACAGGGGGAUAACAGUUAGAAAUGACUGCUAAUACCGCAUAAGCGCACGGGGUCGCAUGACCUGGUGUGAAAAACUCCGGUGGUAUGAGAUGGACCCGCG
rnacentral:rRNA from 1 species